rnacentral:lncRNA from 1 species
CAGACGUUGAAAGGAAUAACAGAACCAUAAGGCUGGAGGAGAUCUGGAAGGGUUAUCUGGCCCGGCUUAUCUCAGAGCAAGACCAGUCAGGAUUUUCCUUUCAAUGAUUGUCCCUUCCCUGUUUGUCCUCUUCAUAACUUGUUUCUCUUGCAUCUCUCCAUGCUGCUUGGUAUUCCCCCUUCUAGCUGCCAUACCUUUUCUCCUUCUGUAAGGUUUAUUGACCAAACAGUGUACUGAAUUGUCAGAAAGAGCAUGCCUAGGGAAUUUCUGAGGCCAAACAUACAAGCAUUGAGCACCAGUGACUACAGUUGAAUGCCAGUGGCUAUAUUUAUAAUCUUCUGUGCAUGAAAACAUAAUUUUCUUCAGAUCUGUCUCCAUUUGUGCAUGCUAAUGCUUACUUAUACCUUGUGGGCAGCUUAAGAAGGAAAAUGUUUAACCAAUCUUACAUACUUUACAUAAAAACUGGCUUUUGAAGGGCUUUUAAGCAUCAUCAUACUACCAUUCUCAACACAUCCCUGUAGCAUGGGUGGUCCUGGCUUACAUGAAAUGAUGAGAGGAACUCAAAUGGAGUAAAAAAAAAAAAAAGUCAAAUCAAAGAGGUAACACUGCUAAGAUUUUUGCAUUGUCUAAAUAAUACUGGCAACUAACUGUUAGUGGGUUUUUUUCUUUGCAGGGUUCUGGUGAAAGACAAAAAUCAAGCUUUUAUGACUUUGGCUUCUUAGAUGUUGCGGUGACAUUCUAAUUUAAUAAGCUAACAAUUUAUGAGUUUGCCACUUCUGAAUAGAAGACAGCCAUUGUGAGAAGAGCAGUCAAUUUUCAGCUCUAGUUGUGUCUUCAUCAUGAUUAAAAAGAACUCAUUUCAGGAGACCGCAAGAAAUCGGACUCUGGCACGCUCUGUUCUGGCCUUUCUCAGAAACAGUUGCUGGCAAUGAAAAAAUAAGAUGCUGCCCAGGCCACCUCUGCUGGGAAAGCUUUAUGUUGUGCAAGAAGGGCUCAGAUUUGGCAGAGAGAAUUGGUGAGUCUGCAGGGAGACAUCUGAAGGAUCGCAGUAUGUCCCAUGUACCUAUGAUACAGUAUUUAUGCCAUUACUCCAAUUCAGGUCUUUAGCUCUCCCUUCUUGUUUCCCAUGCUGGCUCAUGCUGACCUGUUCCCCUGUAGACAGUAUGGGCAUAACUGCUUUACCAUGGCCAAAUCAAGACAAG